rnacentral:rRNA from 1 species
AGCGGCGGAUGGGUGAGUAACACGUGGGGAACCUGCCCCUAAGUCUGGGAUACCAUUUGGAAACAGGUGCUAAUACCGGAUAAUAAAGCAGAUCGCAUGAUCAGCUUUUGAAAGGCGGCGUAAGCUGUCGCUAAGGGAUGGCCCCGCGGUGCAUUAGCUAGUUGGUAAGGUAACGGCUUACCAAGGCGACGAUGCAUAGCCGAGUUGAGAGACUGAUCGGCCACAUUGGGACUGAGACACGGCCCAAACUCCUACGGGAGGCAGCAGUAGGGAAUCUUCCACAAUGGACGCAAGUCUGAUGGAGCAACGCCGCGUGAGUGAAGAAGGUUUUCGGAUCGUAAAGCUCUGUUGUUGGUGAAGAAGGAUAGAGGUAGUAACUGGCCUUUAUUUGACGGUAAUCAACCAGAAAGUCACGGCUAACUACGUGCCAGCAGCCGCGGUAAUACGUAGGUGGCAAGCGUUGUCUGGAUUUAUUGGGCGUAAAGCGAGCGCAGGCGGAAAAAUAAGUCUAAUGUGAAAGCCCUCGGCUUAACCGAGGAACUGCAUCGGAAACUGUUUUUCUUGAGUGCAGAAGAGGAGAGUGGAACUCCAUGUGUAGCGGUGGAAUGCGUAGAUAUAUGGAAGAACACCAGUGGCGAAGGCGGCUCUCUGGUCUGCAACUGACGCUGAGGCUCGAAAGCAUGGGUAGCGAACAGGAUUAGAUACCCUGGUAGUCCAUGCCGUAAACGAUGAGUGCUAAGUGU